rnacentral:lncRNA from 1 species
CCCAAUGACAAGCGUCGAAACACAAAACUGGUUCAAACCGGUUUCGUUCUUAUAUUUCAGUGUAUAAACUACAAAAACAUUCGUUUGCAUUAUACAUUCGCCAUUUUACGCUGCGACUGCUCGGUUGUCGCCUGUUAACCUCUUCGAAAAAAGCCAUUUUUCGACUGUAUUUUUGUGAACUUUCUGUUCAUUUCCAGCCAACAACAUGGGAAAAGCAAAGCAAACCGUCCCACCUGAGCAAAGAAGAUCCUCUGCAAGGCUGGCAAUGAAACCUAAAGCAGCACCAGUGGAGACUAAGAAGAAACCUGCUGCAAAGAAGGCACCCAAAGCAAAGAAGGCCAAGCCAGCGGAGAAUGGUAACACCAAGGCCGAGGAGCCCAAGGCCGAAGCCACUGAAGCCAAAUGAAUAACGGUUGAUGUGCUCAGUCUGUGUACUUGGUGAUUGUACAGUUUUAAAUAAGUAUUUUUUACCAAGUUUUAUAUUACAAAUGUCAUUUAUAGGUUUGUUUUGGGCUUGCACUUGAUGUAACAAGAUUUUUGUUUCACAUUCAUAUCCAUUUUAUAUCCAUUUUAAAGCGGUUACCGUCCAUAUCUAGUAGACGUGGCAUUUUUAGUUUGUCUAAUCCAGUUUUUGUAUUUUAAACUGCUGAGUAAUAGAUAUUUUCCAACAAGUUGGAUUUUUAAAUCUUAAUAUUAAACAUUAUAAGGCAGCUAAAGCAUAUUAAAAUUUGCAGGAGAAGGAGGAUGUUUCCUUUUUUUCUCCGUGUAUUUUGAUGUUAAACUAAUAAUGAAUGCUUACCAAAUGUUUUGAAACACUGUAACGUCAACAUAAUGUCUAGUCAGUUAAAAUGCCACAAAAAAAUUACUGUUGUUAGGUCAAACGUUUGACAUAUCCCAAAUUUAUGUAUGAUGUGAACCUGGUUACCUGAUUAAAAAAAAAUCUGUUAAGUUAUGAUUUCUGUUAGGGGGAAAGGAAGCUUUUGUGACUUCAAUGGUUGGUCUAAAUGUUCUUGAAUAAAAACUUGUGAAAUGUCCUUUCGGGGGUUGUU